UACGUAGGGUGCAAGCGUUGUCCGGAAUUAUUGGGCGUAAAGAGCUCGUAGGUGGCCUGUCGCGUCGGCUGUGAAAACUCGGGGCUCAACUCCGAGCUUGCAGUCGAUACGGGCAGGCUAGAGUUCGGCAGGGGAGACUGGAAUUCCUGGUGUAGCGGUGAAAUGCGCAGAUAUCAGGAGGAACACCGGUGGCGAAGGCGGGAUCCUGGGCCAGUACUGACGCUGAGGAGCGAAAGCGUGGGGAGCAAACAGG
rnacentral:rRNA from 1 species